AGAGAAGCAAGCAUAUGCUAACAGCAUUUGUAUACCACUCUCACAUACAUUACCUCUGUUUUUUCUGGGCAGCUUCCUCAGACUAUUUAGAGUGGGACUAUUGUCCCACUCUAAAAUGGAGUCUAUGGAUGCUGAUGAGUAAGUAAGCUUCUCUCAGGGAAGGCAGUCUUGGGCUAUGUUACAUUAACUCUUCAGAGUCCUAGUUCCUCUACUCCAAAUCUGAGGAGAAUAUGAACGAAGAAGGUAGAAUGGAUUGUACCAGGACUAUCUGAGAUGAUCAAGUGAGUAAAAAUUAAAGUAGAUGAGGAUAUAGUGAACAGAUAUAUUCAAAAUUGAAUGUAGUAGCAUCUUGUGGUAUAAUAAACAAUUGAAUACAACAGAUGUAGUGGCACCUACCUGUAGCCCCAGCUACUUGGGAGGUUGAGGGAAAAGGAACAGUUGAGCCUAGGAGUUCAAAACCAGUCUGGGAAACAUACUGAGAUAACGAUAACAUCUCAAAAAAAAUAAAAAUAAAAACUGCAGCCAGGCGUGAUGGCCCACACCUGUAAUCCCAGUGACUCAGGAAGCUGAGACUGUCUGAAAAUAAGAAAUAAAAAGAACCUGGGGUAUAUCCC
rnacentral:lncRNA from 1 species